UACGUAGGGGGCAAGCGUUGUCCGGAAUUACUGGGCGUAAAGCGCGCGCAGGCGGCCUCGUAGGUCGGAUGUGAAAGCCCACGGCUCAACCGUGGAGGGUCAUUGGAACCUGGGAGACUUGAGGGUAGGAGAGGAAAGUGGAAUUCUACGUGUAGCGGUGAAAUGCGUAGAUAUGUGGAGGAACACCAGUGGCGAAGGCGACUUUCUGGCCUAAAACUGACGCUGAGGCGCGAAAGCGUGGGGAGCAAACAGG
rnacentral:misc_RNA from 1 species